GCUGGACACAGUGGUGCGUGCCUGUAGCCCCAGCUACUAGGGAGGCUGAGACAGGAGGAUCACUUGAGUCCAGGAGUUAUGGGCUGUAGUGCGCUAUGGCAAUCGGGUGUCCACACUAAGUCUGGCAUCAAUAUGGUGACCUCCUGGGAGUGGAGGGCCACCAGGUUGCCUAAGGAGGGGCGAACCAGCCAGGUUGGAAACGAAGUAGGUCACAACUCCCAUGCUGAUAGGUAGUGGGAUCAUGCCUGUGAAGAGCCACUGCACUCCAGCCUGGGCAACAUAGUGAGACCCCGUCUCAA
rfam:Otolemur garnettii contig019424, whole genome shotgun sequence.